rnacentral:lncRNA from 1 species
GGUGUGUACAUACUUAUAUUAUGCAGUUGACGUAUCCAUCCUUACUUUUUUCCUCCCUGUACAGGUCCACACUUUUCGUACUGCUAAAAUCCGGAAGGGUAGCAGCGAAACAGCGAAACUCCAGGAUUGUGGCAUAAGGGUUACUACUUCAACCGGGCAUGCUCAGUCGCCGGGCAGAUUUUUCGGUGAAGUGGAAACUACAACAGAGCGUACAGUGCGUGGGGAGUUGGGCGUGCCCUCGUGGAAUUUAGAACGUUGUCGUAGCCAAUAGGGCCUCGCGGCUGGUUGCCUUAAGUCCUCAUUGGAGGAGCCAGAAGGCGAGAGAGUAGAGGACCCAGAAGGGAGCCGCGGAGGUGCGGGUCGGAGAGGCCGCGGUACGCGGUGCCCUGCGCGUUAGGAAUUGCAGCGGCGGUGUCAGCAUCCAGCGGUGGUAGCAGCAGUUCCAGCCGGUUGCUUUACUUUUUGCUGCACGAACACAGCCAUAAUGCCGAAGAGAAAGCCCAGAGUCCUGGAUUGCUACCUGGACAGAAGUAGCCACAAAUUAAACACAGCUGCCAUGAUCUUCCCAUCUUUCAGUCAGACCUUAGAGAUGCACCACGGAAUCCUGGAGUUCACUGGAUCUUACAUUGGAAACUACUGUCAUCAGGUAAAGCCUCACUAGAUGUGGGGGGGGGGGUAGUGCUGGGGUAACUGCCAAAGCAUUUGUGUACUACUCCACAAUAUUUUUCCUGACUAAAGAACUUCCCAUUCUACAUUUUAAUAAGCUUUAAAAGUGCCCCAUAAUUUUUUUUUUUGCCACCUUAGCUCCUUUUUCCACCG